AGCGAACGCUGGCGGCAGGCCUAACACAUGCAAGUCGAACGAACCUUUCGGGGUUAGUGGCGGACGGGUGAGUAACACGUGGUACGUGCCUUUAGGUUCGGAUUAACUCAGGGAAACUUGUGCUAAUACCGAAUGUGCCCUUCGGGGGAAAGAUUAAUCGCCUUUAGAGCGGCCCGCGUCUGAUUAGCUAGUUGGUUGAGGUACUGGCUCACCAAGGCGACGAUCAGUAGCUGGUCUGAGAGGAGGAUCAGCCACAUUGGGACUGAGACACGGCCCAAACUCCUACGGGAGGCAGCAGUGGGGAAUCUUGCGCGAGGGGCGAAAGCCUGACGCAGCCAUGCCGGGUGAAUGAUGAAGGUCUUAGGAUUGUAAAAUUCUUUCACCGGAGACGAUAAUGACGGUACCCGGAGAAGAAGCCCCGGCUAACUUCGUG
rnacentral:rRNA from 1 species